rnacentral:lncRNA from 1 species
UUUCAUACAAAGAUAAAACACAUGCUCACAACUGUUGUUCCAUCCUUUCAAAAAUUUGUUUUGACAUAUGUCAUGCUAGUAAUUAAUUUUUUGGCUACAGUCCUUAUGAAUUGUGUGACCUUACUGAGAUGACUUUGUUUACUCAAAAUGGCAGUGCUUUGUUGGCAAUUUAAUUGGGGUCUUGAGCAUUAUGCAGGCUCAUAAAGGCGCCUUCAGAGCUGAUUUUGCUUGAGGUCUAUUACUCUGUGUACAUUCUCGGCUGGAACGAGAGAGGAAUUACUACUGAAGGAAAUGUAGCUUCUCUUCCAAGUGAGACAAAUCAGAAGUGAAAUGUCUGCUUUAAACAACACUUUCGCAUUAUGAGGAGUUUUGAGCCUUACAUUAUUCUAGCAGUAAUAUCAAAUCUUUUUGUCUGGAGCCGUCUGAUUGUUUCAAUAAGAAAUACACAGACGUUUUAUCGAGAACCACCAGGAAAUGUGUGCUAUUUGUUCAGUGUGAGGCUUUUUCCUUUAAAAUAGUUUUCUCUCGCUAGUGUUUAGAAGGGGAUUGGAGUUUGGGUCCAUGCAUUAUAAGGAAGAUACAUGUUUUCUGGGCUUCCCUAGCACUGUCACAUGCAUUGUGCUGUGCUUGAUGCUUGUAGCUAUUGUAGCCCUGUCCUCUUGCUCAUCUGAACUAGUUCAGUUUCUGUGAAUUUUACGCUGAGUCUAAUCAAGGUCAACAGAUUAGACUGUUUCCCUCACCUUGUCUCUUCUCAUCUUUCUCAUGGACUUGACCAUAUUAGUUAUGACUGAAUUCUGGGCGUACUUGACUCAUGCUGUUGAAUGUGACAUAGAAGGACUUGGGGAGGGAAAGAAAGCUGAGAAAAGCCAUCUGUUUCAAAGGAACUUGGAGUAAACUAAAUUCAGCUGGUGCCUUUAGUCUACAAAUUCUACUCAGCAUUAUGCAGAUAGCUCUGUCCUGAUGGGGAAGUACAUGGGGAGUCUUCCUUGCCAUGCAGUUAAAGCCUGCUGAGGUGAUGCACCUGGGGAAGCCCACCUGGGGUGCCUCUCAGCAUCUGUCACAUGGAAGCAAGCCUUAGGGCUGGAGAGGUGGUUCAGGUGGUGAAGUACCUGCCACACAAGUGUGAGGACCUGAGUUUCAAUCCCUCACCACCCACAUAAAAAAGGGUUGUGUUGACAUUUGCCUAUAAUCUCAGGGUUGGAGAAGCAGAGCUAUUCAGAUCCCUGGCGCUCACUGGUCACCCAGCCUAGCUGAUUGGAUGAGUUCCAGGUUUGGUGAGAGAUUGUGUUAAAAAAAUGAGGUAAAAAGUGAUUGAGGAAGACGUCUGCUAUCGAUCUUUCAUCUCCACAUGCACACAUGUGUAUGCAUGUGCAAGUGAGGUACACUUGUACAAAAGCUUGCCAGUUAGAAGUAGUCAAAGAAAACAAGCAGAUAGAAUAGCCUGAACAAAGACAGGAAAGAACUGCAUGCGUGCGUGAGUGUGUGCGUGUGUGCGUGAGUGCAUGCGUAUUUAUGUGUGUGUGUGUGUGUGUGUGUGUGUGUGUAUCUGUCUGUCUGUCUGUCUGUAGAAUAGGGGGCAUGAAUCUCGAGCCAAGGAAGGAUGCUUUCAGAGAGUACUGAUAAGGUGGGGUACUUGCAAGGAGGAUAAAUGGAACCUCUCAGCUUAGCUGCAUAUUUGCCAGAAGGCUGGAGGAAAAGACAUGGAAGAUGCCCCAGAAAGAGUCUGACUUUGUGUCCUUGAGAUGUAGAGGAGAAAUUUCCAGUUUGUGGCUCUUGCUGCUCAGAUGUGAAGGGAUGCUGCUGCUGUUGGUGCUGUGUCAGUGAUAGAAAUUUCCAUCUUAAUAAUGAGUAGCUCAACCGGGCAUGUUGGACACACCUUUAAUCCCAGCACUCUCAAUGCAGAGAGUGAAUCUGAAUUCAAAGGUCUACAGAGUGAGUUCCAAGACAGUCAAGGCUGCACAGAGAAACCCUGUCUUGAAAAACAAAACAAAACAACAAAAAACCCAAGAACAACAAAAGAGUAACUCCUGGCUUCUUGUACAGGGGUGUAGCCUCACCUCCCUACUUCCAAGCGGGCCAAAUCUACAGCCUGUUCUAUAAAUUUGAGAGCCCAAAUUGAGAUUGAAAAGCCAUUGACUAGCUCACCCCAGAAGAGAUAUGGUCACUUUGCAGUCUCAGUUACUCUCAAUAUCCUGUCUAGCAACAAGCAUGCCUCCUUAAGGAUGCCUGUGACUUGUCUAUAAAAAUUUCUUUCUGAUUUCUGCUGUCUGCCCUCUGUUGAUGUCUCCCCUAAGGUCUUCAUGUUGUUAUAGUCUCUUGAGUGCCUUCUACAGCCAUCCAUUUGUUCCUUUGAGCUCUGUUUUAUGGUAAUGGUAUUUGCUAACCAAAUAUAUUUUUGGCUCUUUCUUUUUCUUUACAAUGGCGUAGUGCCUGAUUGUACAAUGAACCUUUAUAUAGUUAACCAGCCUCCUUUUGGCGGCUGUAACAGUUUUGCACCAAUGUGUAAUACUGUUUGUUUAUAUAUCCUCUUGUUCAUGGUUCAGGCUUGUAGGUUAUGUCAAGAUAUAGAACAAUUUGGCUAAAGAAAUAAACGUGUAAUUUUGACAGAUGAUAUAGAGUUGCAGGUCAUGGAAGUUCCAGUCUGUAUUUUGUUGAGAAUAUGGAAGCUCCCCUGUUUUCUGGCUUUCUAGUGGUGCUAGCUGUCCAUAGGCUGAAAAUAAUGUCACCUGGGUUUUGAUUUUGAGUUCUACUGAAUGUAUUAAUGUGUGUUAGAACUCGUUUGUUUAUUGUUUGUUUUUUAGAAUUAAACCAGGGGAUUUAUGUAAAUCUCUUUUGUCGUGAAUCUUCUUUAAUAUGAACUC